rnacentral:snRNA from 1 species
UAGUGUUACAGCUCUUUAGAAUUUGUCUAGCAGGUUUUCUGGUCCACACUGAAAAACUCCC